rnacentral:rRNA from 1 species
GACGAACGCUGGCGGCGUGCUUAACACAUGCAAGUCGAACGAUGAAGCCGGAGCUUGCUCUGGUGAAUUAGUGGCGAACGGGUGAGUAACACGUGAGUAACCUGCCCUUGACUCUGGGAUAACUGCUAGAAAUGGUAGCUAAUACCGGAUACGACCCUCGGAGGCAUCUCCAGGGGGUGGAAAGAAUUUCGGUCAAGGAUGGACUCGCGGCCUAUCAGCUAGUUGGUGAGGUAACGGCCCACCAAGGCGACGACGGGUAGCCGGCCUGGGAGGGUGGACGGCCACACUGGGAAUGACACACGGCCCAGUCUCCUACGGGAGGCAGCAGGGGGGAAUAUUGCACAAUGAGCGCAAGCCUGAUGCAGCAACGCCGCGUUAGGGAUGACGGCCUUCGGGUUGUAAACCUCUUUUAGUAGGGAAGAAGCGAAAGUGACGGUACCUGCAGAAAAAGCACCGGCUAACUACGUGCCAGCCGCCGCGGUAA